ensembl:misc_RNA
CUGACAGCCCUGGAGACUAAAGUCCUCUAUUUAUUUGUAGAGCAGAUACAGCAUGGGCAGCAGCAGUGCAAACUUCCCCUCAUUGCCCCACCAAUGUGCCUCAGCCCUGACCUGGAGAGACCACCUUUAGGGGUAAGAGAGUGGUUCAGAAACAUGUCCUCGGCCACUCUGCUGUGAGUGACG